rnacentral:misc_RNA from 1 species
CAGAUGCAAUGGCACCGAAAAAAAUAGUGAAUCCACUUAUGAAGCCAACAAUCGAAUCUAGCAAGUAUCUCCUUAAUGAAGAACUAUAGAUCUGCUGGGGUUGAGGCAGAAAAGAAUAGAAUGGGUGGCUUUUUGAAGGCACUGAUCUGGGUGUGAAACUAAAAUAGGGAGUGUUUUUUUGUGAGAACAAGUGCUGAUUUUUUUUCCUUCAGAGAGCAAAUAGCGUGAGUUUUAUAUGGAGAG